rnacentral:rRNA from 1 species
CGAACGCUGGCGGCGUGCUUAACACAUGCAAGUCGAGCGGUAAGGACCUUCGGGGUACACGAGCGGCGAACGGGUGAGUAACACGUGGGUGAUCUGCCUCGCACUUCGGGAUAAGCCUGGGAAACUGGGUCUAAUACCGGAUAUGACUUCUGGUCGCAUGGCUGGGGGUGGAAAGAUUUAUCGGUGCGAGAUGGGCCCGCGGCCUAUCAGCUUGUUGGUGGGGUAAUGGCCUACCAAGGCGACGACGGGUAGCCGGCCUGAGAGGGCGACCGGCCACACUGGGACUGAGACACGGCCCAGACUCCUACGGGAGGCAGCAGUGGGGAAUAUUGCACAAUGGGCGAAAGCCUGAUGCAGCGACGCCGCGUGAGGGAUGACGGCCUUCGGGUUGUAAACCUCUUUCGACAGGGACGAAGCGCAAGUGACGGUACCUGUAGAAGAAGCACCGGCCAACUACGUGCCAGCAGCCGCGGUAAUACGUAGGGUGCGAGCGUUGUCCGGAAUUACUGGGCGUAAAGAGCUUGUAGGCGGUUUGUCGCGUCGUCUGUGAAAACUCACAGCUCAACUGUGAGCUUGCAGGCGAUACGGGCAGACUUGAGUACUGCAGGGGAGACUGGAAUUCCUGGUGUAGCGGUGAAAUGCGCAGAUAUCAGGAGGAACACCGGUGGCGAAGGCGGGUCUCUGGGCAGUAACUGACGCUGAGAAGCGAAAGCGUGGGUAGCGAACAGGAUUAGAUACCCUGGUAGUCCACGCCGUAAACGGUGGGCGCUAGGUGUGGGUUUCCUUCCACGGGAUCCGUGCCGUAGCUAACGCAUUAAGCGCCCCGCCUGGGGAGUACGGCCGCAAGGCUAAAACUCAAAGGAAUUGACGGGGGCCCGCACAAGCGGCGGAGCAUGUGGAUUAAUUCGAUGCAACGCGAAGAACCUUACCUGGGUUUGACAUACACCGGAAACCUGCAGAGAUGUAGGCCCCCUUGUGGUCGGUGUACAGGUGGUGCAUGGC